CGGGGCCUAUCAUGCAAGUCGAGCGCUUCUUUCUUCACCAGGGCUUGCUCUCAUUGGAAAGAGGAGUGGCGGACGGGUGAGUAACACGUGGGUAACCUACCCAUCAAAUGGGGAUAACCUUGGUAACAGGUGCUAAUACCUCAUAACAGUUUAUGCCGCAUGGCAUAAAAGUGAAAGGCGCUUUCGGGUGUCGCUGAUGGAUGGACCCGCGGUGCAUUAGCUAGUUGGUGAGGUAACGGCUCACCAAGGCCACCAUGCAUAGCCGACCUGAGAGGGUGAUCGGCCACACUGGGACUGAGACACGGCCCAGACUCCUACGGGAGGCAACAUUAGGGAAUCUUCGGCAAUGGACGAAAGUCUGACCGAGCAACGCCUCGUGAGUGAAGAAGGUUUUCGGAUCGUAAUACUCUGUUGUUAGAGAAGAACAAGGAUGUUAGUAACUGGACGUCCCCUGACGGUAUCUAACCAGAAAGCCACGGCUAACUACGUGCCAGCAUCCGCGGUAAUACAUAGGUGGCAAGAGUUGUCCGGAUUUAUUGGGCGUAAAGCGAGCGCAGGCGGUUUCUUAAGUCUGAUGUGAAAGCCCCCGGCUCAACCGGGGAGGGUCAUUGGAAACUGGAAGACUUGAGUGCAGARGAGGAGAGUGGAAUUCCAUGUGUAGCGGUGAAAUGCGUAGAUAUAUGGAGGAACACCAGUGGCGAAUGCGGCUCUCUGGACUGUAACUGACGCUGACGCUCGAAAGCGUGGGGAGCAAACACGAUUAUAUACCCUGGUAUUCCACCCCAUAGACGAUGAGUGCUAAGUGUUCGAGGGUUUCCGCCCCUUCAAUGCUGCUGAAAACGCUUUACGCACUCCGCCUAGCGAGUGCUACCGCAGGUUGAAACUCAAAGGAAUUGACGGGGCCCGCAAAGCGGGGCAUCAUGCUGAUUUAAUUCGAAGCAUCUCAAAAAUCCUUACCAUGUCUUGACAUCCCUUUGACCACUCUAGAGAUAGAGCUUGCCUUUCGGGACAAGUGACAGUGGAUGCAUGCUCGUCGUCUGCUCCUGUCUGGAAAUGUUGGCUAGUCCCGCACGAGGGCACCCUUAUGGUUGUUGCCAUUUGUUCAUCGCACUCUCGCAGACUGCCGCUGACAACCCGGAAGGAAUGGGGGGGCAAAAC
rnacentral:rRNA from 1 species